rnacentral:rRNA from 1 species
GACGAACGCUGGCGGCGUGCUUAACACAUGCCAGUCGAACGGAAAGGCCCUGCUUUUGUGGGGUGCUCGAGUGGCGAACGGGUGAGUAACACGUGAGUAACCUGCCCUUGACUUUGGGAUAACUUCAGGAAACUGGGGCUAAUACCGGAUAGGAGCUCCUGCUGCAUGGUGGGGGUUGGAAAGUUUCGGCGGUUGGGGAUGGACUCGCGGCUUAUCAGCUUGUUGGUGGGGUAGUGGCUUACCAAGGCUUUGACGGGUAGCCGGCCUGAGAGGGUGACCGGCCACAUUGGGACUGAGAUACGGCCCAGACUCCUACGGGAGGCAGCAGUGGGGAAUAUUGCACAAUGGGCGGAAGCCUGAUGCAGCAUCGCCGCGUGCGGGAUGACGGCCUUCGGGUUGUAAACCGCUUUCGCCUGUGACGAAGCGUGAGUGACGGUAAUGGGUAAAGAAGCACCGGCUAACUACGUG